AGGAGAGGUGAGGCCAGAUCCCCAAAAGCGCGCCUCCGAGCUGGACUGAGAAGGGUAGCAGAGCGAAAGAGGGAGGAGUGACCUGCCCGCCGCUCGCCAGCCAGCCAGACCGCGCGGGAGCUCAGUAACUUUCCGACAGUGCACGAGGGAGGAUUGAUGCGCUGCGCUCUCCGCCCAGUGACUCGAGCCACCCCAGCCGAGGGAACUUUUGCGAGUAGCGUGCCAGAAGCGAACUAAGGAAGCCGCUUGCGUCCAGGAGGAAGAGCCGAGCGUGACCCGAAUACCUCUAUGUUUUUUUUUUUCGAAAGUCCUCCCCUUCCGUCCACCUUUUAAAGAGAACACUGAAAAGAGUUAAAAAAAAAAAAAGAGAGAAAAAGGGAAAAGUGAGCUUGUGUGGACUGUUGAAGGCUCUAUAAACUUGCAGGAGGGAAAAAGGUGAAAAAAAAGAAAAAUACCUGAACAAUUAAGGUUGUAUGAACUCUCCUAAUUAACUCAUUCAUAGGGUAGAGCGGCGGCGUCCAGGUAGAGAGAGAGGUAGAGGUAGAGGUGAAGCAGCAUCAGUAACACCGCCUACCUGCCUACCUACCCGUGUUUACCUGUCCCGCCUACCUGCCUACCUGCCUAUCACCCUGCUAAGCAUUACAGGUAAGCACUGUGUGAAGGAACUGGCUAUCUUGUGUACGUGUGUGCAAGGUAAGGGUCUAUGUAUGUGUCUGUGUGUGUGUGUGUGUGUGUGUGUGUGUGUGUGUGUGUGUGUGUGUGUGUGUUUGUGUGUUUGUGUGUUCUCUUGAUAUAUUGUGCAGUUACCCUUUGUGUUUUCUUGUUUGAGUUUUAUUUUCUCACUUGUAUCAUAUUUUUCUCAGUAGUGUUUGUUCUUCUAUUACGGUGUUCUUUUCUGUUCUGUUAGUAUUCGCAUCAGAUGUAUUUAUUUUCCUUUUCUUCAAUUUGAUUAUUUUAUCAGUAUUAUUCGUUGGUAUUUCCUCCUUGUUUCUCUUACAUUCUCUAAAAUUCAUAUCACUGUCUUCUUUUCGUCAAUUUGUUUUUAUCAUUUUGACUUUCAUUUCCUUUUUUCUCCUUUCCUUCCUCCCGUUUUCCCAUCAUCCCCCUUUUUUUAUGAUUUUGCCUUCCAGUGACUUUUUUCCCUUCCCCUCCUCCUUGUCCUUGUUACUUCCCUCUCCCCUUCCUCCUUCGCUCGUUACUGCAGCCAUGCAACACACAGAAAAGAGCAAUAACACCAACAUCCCGUGCAAAUCUCGCAGUAACUUUGAUAAUAAAUCCGACCAAUUAACUGAUCAGCCAAUUAACUAAACGUGCAGUUGGCGAACGGAAAAAAAUAACACUGCACAGAGAGAGAGAGAGAGAGAGAGAGAGAGAGAGAGAGAGAGAGAGAGAGAGAGAGAGAGAGAGAGAGAGAGAGAGAUUAACAAAUGCGUGAGACAGUAAGCAAACGAACGUAGCAAGCGAAACAAAUUAACUGCAAGGAUCAAACCAACAUAAGUAAGAGAAAGAAAAAGGGAAGGAAAAGGUCAGUCAGGAAUUGUAGUAGUGGAGCUUAACAUACGUAACUAAAACGGAAUAAAAACUGCAAAUGAGGAGGAAUGAUGUACGUAAGAUAUAAUUAGAAGAGUAUGCAAGACUACUACUCUCAGUUCUCAGGUUGUUAGUACCGAGUCAAUAGGAUGUUUUAUAAGGUAGAUUUAUAGACAGGAAUGAUAACGUGGGUAUAUGAACAGGUAGGUAAGUUUUAUACAGGGACUGCCACGUGUAGACCGAGUUCUUGUAUUCUCCCUUGUAUUUCCAUGCUUUGUCUACUCUUAGGACACCAUACAGAGAGAACUAUGGGCUGACGAGGCUAAGAGUGUGAAUAAUGUGUGUAUGAGUGUGCGCUGCUUUGUCUGACUCACAACGUUUAGAAUUCUCGAUCUGCUACAAGGAUAAAGUUAUACUGUUAUUUAAUACUCUUAUAUCAUCACACAUCCUUCACUUCUCAAGGAAAUGCAGAUGUUGAAGUGUUAGGCAGAUGUGUGGAGGGUCUGGGCAAGUGUGUGUGUGUGUGUGUGUGUGUGUGUGUGUGUGUGUGUGUGUGUGUGUGUGUGUAUGUGUGUGUGUGAUGGGAGGGGAGAGAUUGCAGGAGGUGAAAGGGUGAGGUUCAUGUGUGUGUGUGUGUGUGUGUGUGUGUGUGUGUGUGUGUGUGUGUGUGGUCUUGUCCUUCUCGUGUUAAAAGUGCUGAUAAUUAAGGCAAGGUAAGUAAUUAUGACCCGCAGCGGUUUUUGUGUGAAAGGAAGGUAAAAAUGGAUAAGGCAAGAGAGAGAGAGAGAGAGAGAGAGAGAGAGAGAGAGAGAGAGAGAGAGAGAGAGAGAGAGAGAGAGAGAGA